UACGAAUGUGGCGAGCGUUGUUCGGAAUCACUGGGCGUAAAGCGCACGUAGGCGGAUUGCUAAGUCAGGGGUGAAAUCCUGGAGCUCAACUCCAGAACUGCCUUUGAUACUGGCGAUCUUGAGUCCGGGAGAGGUGAGUGGAACUGCGAGUGUAGAGGUGAAAUUCGUAGAUAUUCGCAAGAACACCAGUGGCGAAGGCGGCUCACUGGCCCGGUACUGACGCUGAGGUGCGAAAGCGUGGGGAGCAAACAGG
rnacentral:rRNA from 1 species